UCGGUGAAGCUCUAGGCAGCUCUUGUCCCUCCUUAGUGCCAGCUCCCAAGUUUGCAGUCUCUUGCUUCUACAGCCGAACAGAGCAGGCAGACUAAAACUUUGUUAUCGAGGGCAGAGCGAAACCGGAAGGUUUACUGAGCUGUGGCUUCAUGUAAACGCUGAGCAUCCACUCCACGGAGGUCAGGUUUUUUAUAUGGGAUGAAUCCAAAGACCAGGUCAGCGAUUCCAGAACCCAGAGUGUUCCAGUGUUCACUGGAUGGCGAGCCGACCCAAGAUCCUAGGAGACGAUAAUCCUCUACUGUACAAGUAGUACGAUGCCAAACGCAGAGCAUAUGGAAGCCUUCCCAUACUAAUCCAGUCUUCAGAAGCUAACAGGGAGCAGUAAGAAGGAGCUGAAUCAACAUUUGGUUGCAUUAUUUUGUCAAUGAAUUUUAAAUAAGAUGCUGAACUUCAGAAGAAGCUCUGUUUUUGAUGUCUUAAUUUCACUGUUGUGCUCUGCUGGCCUUAUUCAUUUUUACCCAGUGAACAAUAACCAGAUAUGUGAGACAUUACAUUUUCGAUAUGAUAAUAAGAUCCUUUAUAUGAUUUCUGACAAGCCAGCCGUGGUUAUAUUAAGACUUUUAUAACAAUAUCUCUGUGAUAAAAGAUACAAAGCCUCUGCUGAAUUAAAUAUCUUUGACUGAUAUGAG